UACAGAGGUGGCAAGCGUUGUUCGGAAUUACUGGGCGUAAAGGGCGCGUAGGCGGCCAUCUAAGUCAGACGUGAAAUCCCCCGGCUUAACCUGGGAACUGCGUCCGAUACUGGAAGGCUUGAGUAUGGGAGAGGGAUGUAGAAUUCCAGGUGUAGCGGUGAAAUGCGUAGAUAUCAGGAGGAACACCGAUGGCGAAGGCAGGUCUCUGGGCCACUACUGACGCUGAGAAGCGAAAGCAUGGGGAGCGAACAGG
rnacentral:rRNA from 1 species